UCUGUGGAGAAUUAUAUAAAACUAAAGUAAUAGAAAUAUGAAAUAGGAUUCUUUGAAACAGAAA
ncrna:unclassified sequences RAGATH-18 RNA